rnacentral:miRNA from 1 species
AAUGACCUUGAUUGAGU